rnacentral:piRNA from 1 species
GGGGAUCCAAGUGUAUGCUGAAUAUUGAG